rnacentral:lncRNA from 1 species
ACACGUAGUUCUUUCUUACACCAGUUCUGCAAAACCCAGGUCAAGAAGACCCAUCAAUCACCAGCAGAGAGAAGAACACCAAAGGUGCAGGUUUAGGGCCCAGAAAGCCACUGGCCCCUUAAUAUCCAGAAAAGGACAAAAACUCAUGGGAGUCAAGCUCUGUUUGCCUGGAAGAAGAAAGAUAAAGACACUGACAAGCCUCCCUCCCCCACCAGUCAAAACUACUAUUCUACCUGUUUCCUGAUUCUGACCC